AUUGAACGCUGGCGGCAGGCCUAACACAUGCAAGUCGAACGGUAACAGAAAGCAGCUUGCUGCUUUGCUGACGAGUGGCGGACGGGUGAGUAAUGUCUGGGAAACUGCCUGAUGGAGGGGGAUAACUACUGGAAACGGUAGCUAAUACCGCAUAACGUCGCAAGACCAAAGAGGGGGACCUUCGGGCCUCUUGCCAUCGGAUGUGCCCAGAUGGGAUUAGCUAGUAGGUGGGGUAAUGGCUCACCUAGGCGACGAUACCUAGCUGGUCUGAGAGGAUGACCAGCCACACUGGAACUGAGACACGGUCCAGACUCCUACGGGAGGCAGCAGUGGGGAAUAUUGCACAAUGGGCGCAAGCCUGAUGCAGCCAUGCCGCGUGUAUGAAGAAGGCCUUCGGGUUGUAAAGUACUUUCAGCGAGGAGGAAGGUGUUGUGGUUAAUAACCACAGCAGUUGACGUUACUCGCAGAAGAAGCACCGGCUAACUCCGUGCCAGCCGCCGCGGUAA
rnacentral:rRNA from 1 species